UACGUAGGGUGCGAGCGUUUGUCCGGAAUUAUUGGGCGUAAAGAGCUUGUAGGUGGUUUGUCGCGUCUGCUGUGAAAAUCCGAGGCUCAACCUCGGACUUGCAGUGGGUACGGGCAGACUAGAGUGUGGUAGGGGGAGACUGGAAUUCCUGGUGUAGCGGUGGAAUGCGCAGAUAUCAGGAGGAACACCGAUGGCGAAGGCAGGUCUCUGGGCCAUUAACUGACACUGGAGAAGCG
rnacentral:rRNA from 1 species